ACUCUGUUGUUGNAGAAGAACACGAGUGAGAGUAACUGUUCAUUCGAUGACGGUAUCUAACCAGCAAGUCACGGCUAACUACGUGCCAGCAGCCGCGGUAAUACGUAGGUGGCAAGCGUUGUCCGGAUUUAUUGGGCGUAAAGGGAACGCAGGCGGUCUUUUAAGUCUGAUGUGAAAGCCUUCGGCUUAACCGGAGUAGUGCAUUGGAAACUGGAAGACUUGAGUGCAGAAGAGGAGAGUGGAACUCNAUGUGUAGCGGUG
rnacentral:rRNA from 1 species